UUCUAAGGGCGCAUGGUGGAUGCCUUGGCAACAGGAGCCGAAGAAGGACGUGGGAAUCUGCGAUAAGCCUGGUGGAGUCGAUAACCGGACGUUGAGACCAGGAUUUCCGAAUGGGGAAACCCCGCACGACGUGUCGUGUGACCACCGGUUGAACACAUAGACCGGUUGGAGGGAACGUGGGGAAGUGAAACAUCUCAGUACCCACAGGAAGAGAAAACAAAAGUGAUUCCGUUAGUAGUGGCGAGCGAACGCGGAUGGGGCUAAACCGUAUGUGUGUGAUACCCGGCAGGGGUUGCAUGUGCGGUGUUGUGGGCCCCUCCUUGUCAUGUCUGCCGGCAUGGCGCAGUGAGGUGCGGGCAUAUAGACGAACCAGUGUGGAUGCUGGACCGUAGAGGGUGAGAGUCCCGUAGUCGAAAUGUGUUCCGCCGCUGUUGGAGGGUCGCCCGAGUAGCACGGGGCCCGAGGAAUCCCGUGUGAAUCUGCCAGGACCACCUGGUAAGCCUGAAUACUACCUGUUGACCGAUAGCGGAUCAGUACCGUGAGGGAAUGGUGAAAAGUACCCCGGGAGGGGAGUGAAAUAGUACCUGAAACCAUGUGCCUACAAACCGUUGGAGCCUCCUUGUUGGGGUGACAGCGUGCCUUUUGAAGAAUGAGCCUGCGAGUUAGUGUUCUGUCGCAAGGUUAACCCGUGUGGGGAAGCCGUAGCGAAAGCGAGUCUGAAUAGGGCGCUUUAGUUAGUAGUGGUAGACGCGAAACCGUGUGAUCUACCCAUGGGCAGGGUGAAGCUGUAGUAACAUACAGUGGAGGCCCGAACCGAUAUACGUUGAAAAGUGUUCGGAUGACCUGUGGGUAGGGGUGAAAGGCCAAUCAAACUCUGUGAUAGCUGGUUCUCCCCGAAAUGCAUUUAGGUGCAGCGUUACGUGUUUCUUGCCGGAGGUAGAGCUACUGGAUGGCCGAUGGGCCCCACAGGGUUACUGACGUCAGCUAAACUCCGAAUGCCGGUAAGUCAGAGCGUAGCAGUGAGACAGUGGGGGAUAAGCUUCAUUGUCGAGAGGGAAACAGCCCAGACCAUCAACUAAGGUCCCAAAG
rnacentral:rRNA from 1 species